rnacentral:rRNA from 1 species
AGUGAACGCUGGCGGUAGGCCUAACACAUGCAAGUCGAACGGCAGCACAGGAGAGCUUGCUCUCUGGGUGGCGAGUGGCGGACGGGUGAGGAAUACAUCGGAAUCUACUCUGUCGUGGGGGAUAACCCGGGGAAACUCGGGCUAAUACCGCAUAAUCUUUACGAAGCAAAGUGGGGGACCGUAAGGCCUCACGUUAUAAGAUGAGCCUAUGUUGGAUUAGCUAGUUGGUGGGGUAAAGGCCUACCAAGGCGACGAUCCAUAGCUGGUCUGAGAGGAUGAUCAGCCACACUGGGACUGAGACACGGCCCAGACGCCUACGGGAGGCAGCAGUGGGGAAUAUUGGACAAUGGGGGAAACCCUGAUCCAGCAACGCCGUGUGUGUGAAGAAGGCCUUAGGGUUGUAAAGCACUUUCAGUAGGGAAGAAAAGCUUAAGGGUAAUAUCCUUGAGUAUUGACGUUACCUACAGAAGAAGCACUGGCUAACUCUGUGCCAGCCGCCGCCGUAA